GAUGAACGCUGGCGGCGUGCUUAACACAUGCAAGUCGAACGAGAAAUGGAGACGGAAACCUUCGGGCGGAAGGCUUCAUUUCGAGUGGCGGACGGGUGAGUAACUCGUGGGUAACCUGCCUCAUACAGGGGGAUAACAGUUGGAAACGACUGUUAAUACCGCAUAAGACCACAGCACCGCAUGGUGCGGGGGUAAAAACUCCGGUGGUAUGAGAUGGACCCGCGUUCGAUUAGCCAGUUGGCGCGGGAACGGCCCACCACAGCGACGAUCGAUAGCCGAUCUGAGAGGAUGACCGGCCACAUUGGGACUGAGACACGGCCCAAACUCCUACGGGAGGCAGCAGUGGGGAAUAUUGCACAAUGGGGGAAACCCUGAUGCAGCGACGCCGCGUGAGUGAAGAAGUACUUCGGUAUGUAAAGCUCUAUCAGCAGGGAAGAAAAUGACGGUACCUGAGUAAGAAGCCCCGGCUAACUACGUG
rnacentral:rRNA from 1 species